GAUGAACGCUGGCGGCGUGCCUAAUACAUGCAAGUCGAGCGAAAAGUUGAGGAGCUUUCUCCUCUGACGUUAUCGGCGGUCGGGUGAUUAACACGUGGUUAACCUACCUAUAAGACUGGGAUAACUUCGGGAAACCGGAGCUAAUACCGGAUAAUUUAUUGAACUGCAUGGUUCCAUAGUGAAAUACGGUUUUUCUGUCACUUAUAGAUGGAUCCGCGCCGCAUUAGCUAGUUGGUAAGGUAACGGCUUACCAAGGCAACGAUGCGUAGCCGACCUGAGAGGGUGAUCGGCCACACUGGAACUGAGAAACGGUCCAGACUCCUACGGGAGGCAGCAGUAGGGAAUCUUCCGCAAUGGGCGAAAGCCUGACGGAGCAACGCCGCGUGAGUGAUGAAGGUCUUCGGAUCGUAAAACUCUGUUAUUAGGGAAGAACAAAUGUGUAAGUAACUAUGCACGUCUUGACGGUACCUAAUCAGAAAGCCCCGGCUAACUACGUG
rnacentral:rRNA from 1 species